rnacentral:rRNA from 1 species
GACGAACGCUGGCGGCGUGCUUAACACAUGCAAGUCGUACGGUAAGGCCCUUUCGGGGGUACACGAGUGGCGAACGGGCGAGUAACACGUGAGUAACCUGCCCACAACUUUGGGAUAACGCUAGGAAACUGGUGCUAAUACUGGAUAUGUGCCCCUGCUGCAUGGUGGGGGUUGGAAAGCUCCGGCGGUUGUGGAUGGACUCGCGGCCUAUCAGCUUGUUGGUGGGGUAGUGGCCCACCAAGGCGGCGACGGGUAGCCGGCCUGAGAGGGUGACCGGCCACAUUGGGACUGAGAUACGGCCCAGACUCCUACGGGAGGCAGCAGUGGGGAAUAUUGCACAAUGGGCGCAAGCCUGAUGCAGCAACGCCGCGUGCGGGAUGACGGCCUUCGGGUUGUAAACCGCUUUCAGCAGGGACGAAGCUUUUUGUGACGGUACCUGCAGAAGAAGCACCGGCUAACUACGUG